GAUGAACGCUGGCGGCGUGCCUAAUACAUGCAAGUCGAGCGAACGGACGAGAAGCUUGCUUCUCAGAUGUUAGCGGCGGACGGGUGAGUAACACGUGGAUAACCUACCUAUAAGACUGGGAUAACUUCGGGAAACCGGAGCUAAUACCGGAUGAUAUUUUGAACCGCAUGGUUCAAAAGUGAAAGACGGUCUUGCUGUCACUUAUAGAUGGAUCCGCGCUGCAUUAGCUAGUUGGUAAGGUAACGGCUUACCAAGGCAACGAUGCAUAGCCGACCUGAGAGGGGGGUCGGCCACACUGGAACGGAGACACGGUCCAGACUCCUACGGGAGGCAGCAGUAGGGAAUCUGCCGCAAUGGGCGAAAGCCUUACGGAGCAACGCCGCGUGAGUGAUGAAGGUCUUCGGAUCGUAAAACUCUGUUAUUAGGGAAGAACAUAUGUGUAAGUAACUGUGCACAUCUUGACGGUACCUAAUCAGAAAGCCACGGCUAACUACGUG
rnacentral:rRNA from 1 species